rnacentral:rRNA from 1 species
UUAUAUGGAGAGUUUGAUCCUGGCUCAGGACGAACGCUGGCGGCGUGCCUAAUACAUGCAAGUCGAGCGGACGGAUGGGAGCUUGCUCCCUGAAGUCAGCGGCGGACGGGUGAGUAACACGUGGGCAACCUGCCUGUAAGACUGGGAUAACUUCGGGAAACCGGAGCUAAUACCGGAUAAUGCACAGCCUCUCAUGAGGCUA